rnacentral:lncRNA from 1 species
ACUGACUUCACGUGUGUUUCAAUUAUGAAUUCAAACUUUAUUAUCUCAACAACAUAAAUCUAAUCAAACUAGAAAAUGACUACUAACAGAAGAGUUCACACGUUUGUAAGCUAAUAAGUUAACAGUCCUCAAAUAUUACAGAAUCGGAGCAGUCUCAGUUCGAGUCCAACAGCCCAAUGUUUAUCCAGUUCGCACAUGUAAAAAAACCAAAUCAAAUCGGCCCAAUUUCGUUUAACACAUAAACUGGAGACGAGUUUCACGAUCCAAUCAGCACAAUCAUAAACAGAAAUUAAGCACGUAACAGAACUAUUUAAACUACAAUUCCGCAGCAGAAACUUGGCUCAUUUUAUUUCGUGUUUCCCAGCAGGAUGUGCUACGUUGAGUCAAGCUUGAAAUGUGUACCUGGAUUCGAAAGUACAGUGAAGAAUGAGAAAUCAGCAGAUGAAACAACUCGGAGCAACAACAGAAAUUCAACAGGAUUACAACCAGCAGCAAAUGGAGUGAGUUUUGACCCAAAAUAGUUCCACAAAGAUCAAAGAUGAUUUAUAGGACUUAGCACACAAUCAGAUAACCAAAGCAAUGCAUUGAACCCACAAUUUAACCCAAAGCUAAUUCAAAUGAGCUCAAAUGACUUCCAAAUGGACUUAGAUUCAAAUCAGACCAACACAACACCCAGAUCGAUCCUAAAUGCCUCCAAUUGAAACCAAAAUUUACUCGAACACCAACCAGAAACACCUUUGCAGUUCAAUUACCAAAGAUUAAGCUAUGAAAAUCCAAUCAAUUAGCUAACAGUUGUUAUUCACCCAGAAUCUUAAUGAAACAGUAAUAUUUUUUGGGUUUUUAUUGUUUUUUUUUUGAAUUUCAGAUUUCUUCUUCAGAUCUGGAAAAAUGGAAAGAGUUUUUGGGGAGCUCAAAAUGGCUGAAGAGAAGCCCCCUCUCUAAGGCAUGAGAAUGCCAAUUUAUAGGCAACCCAAGAGUGAAUAAUCAGAUUUUUGGUUUUUUCUUUUUAGUCCUUCUUUAUUUUCAGUUUAGUCCUCUUAUUUCUAACUUGUUACUCAAGUAAGUACCUCUAUUGUGCUAAAAUGUACACUAAAAUCCUAUUUUAGAAGGCCCUAGGGUGCUCUUCUACCCAUGCAAUACCUAUACUAUCCUUUCUUUUACUUUGAAAUUACUAUUCUUAUCAGAAUUACCCUUUUCCACGCCUAAACUACCCCUAAAAGAUUCUCAAAAUUACUGAUUCUACCUAAAUUUUCAACAGCUGUAACCAAUCCCCUAAAUUAAUUCAAAACUAACUAAGACUGAUUAAUUAGAACUCAGAAAUUAACUAAUUGAACUAACCAAUCCCAAUUAUUCAAUCACACAAACUCAAGCAAUUUAGAAACUCAAGAGACCAGGAUCACUCAAAACAAAGCUUAAGCUAAUAGUCGAAAUUAAAUGAAAUUAAACUAACUUUUAACCAAUAAGCUAACAAUUGACCAUUUGAACACCAAACUCAGAACUAAAAAGAAGUUGAAAUUAACCUAAACAUCUAGCUAACAAUUAAUGGACAAAAUUGUAUCGAAUCCAAACUAAUCAAUUAUGACGAUUCUGAAAUUAAAACUAUGAUUAACUAACAAAUGACACAUGCAUCAAACUAAAACAAAACUAACAAUGAGAAGAUGCUUCACUGAUUAAAACUGAUGGAACAAGGAAUCAAAAGAAAAUUUAAACUAUACUAAUAAACAAAAUAAAACAUAAAAUUAACAGAACACUUACUAUAGAACUUGCUCGACCCUAAAUUAUUCCCAAAAUAGCCAAACUGCCUGAACCCUAGAUCCAACAAUUCCUGAGCUCUAAUGAGAUUCGAGAGACUCUGGCAUGGAAAUCGUCAUGAGGGUGGUUUAGGGCUUGUGGGGUACGAAUUUGGAGCCAUUUGGGCAAAGUGUCAUUUUGGGCCUGAACUUCAAAUGAACAUUCGAGCAGAUGGGCCCCGAUUCGAGGGAAAUUGAGAUGAGAUACAGAGAGAGGACGACAGGAGGAACCUAGGGUGUUUGUUUUGGCGGUCAUUGGCGUCAACGCCGCCGUGGGCGGCGGAGAUGUCAGUCACAAGAUCGAUUAUUCGAGGAGUUUGGGCGGGAUCCGAGUUAUGAAAAUAGGGGGCUUGGAAAGAGGGUCUCACGAGGAAUCUAGGGUGUAAAUUUGGGAGCGCUUGGAGCUUUACCGCCACCGUGGGCGAUUUCCGGCGGCGGUGUAGCACUGGUCUCAUUAGGGUGUAUUGAAGAAG